rnacentral:rRNA from 1 species
UACAGAGGUCUCAAACGUUGUUCGGAUUCAUUGGGCGUAAAGGGUGCGUAGGCGGCGCGGUAAGUCGGGUGUGAAAUCUUGGAGCUUAACUCCGAAACUGCAUUCGAUACUGCCGUGCUUGAGGACUGGAGAGGAGACUGGAAUUUACGGUGUAGCGGUGAAAUGCGUAGAUAUCGUAAGGAAGACCAGUGGCGAAGGCGGGUCUCUGGACAGUUCCUGACGCUGAGACACGAAGGCCAGGGGAGCAAACGGG